UUGUUGCAGUUAAAAAGCUCGUAGUUGGACUUUAGGCAAGGCGGCCUGGUCACCCUCUGGGUGUACUGGGAUCGCUGCGCCUCACCUUCGGGGAGCUAGUCGUGCUUCGGUGCGCUAGGGAACCGAGCCUUACCUUGAGGAAAUUAGAGUGUUUAAAGCAGGCUUAUGCUUGAAUACGUUAGCAUGGAAUAACAUGAUAGGACUUUGGUUCUAUUUUGUUGGUUUGAGGACCAAAGUAAUGAUUAAUAGGGACAGUUGGGGGCAUUAGUAUUCAAUAGUCAGAGGUGAAAUUCUUGGAUUUAUUGAAGACUAACUAAUGCGAAAGCAUUUGCCAAGGAUGUUUUCAUUAAUCAAGAACGAAAGUUAGGGGAUCGAAGACGAUUAGAUACCGUCGUAGUCUUAACCAUAAACUAUGCCGACUAGGGAUCGGUGGAAGUCGAUUUUGACUCCAUCGGCACCUUACGAGAAAUCAAAGUUUUUGGGUUCUGGGGGGAGUAUGGUCGCAAGGCUGAAACUUAAAGGAAUUGACGGAAGGGCACCGCCAGGAGUGGAGCCUGCGGCUUAAUUUGACUCAACACGGGAAAACUCACCAGGUCCGGACAUGGGAAGGAUUGACAGAUUGAGAGCUCUU
rnacentral:rRNA from 1 species